AGGGAAGAGGUGAACGCUGGUAAGAAGAGUUUAAGGCAAGAAAGGAAGCGCUUUCCUAGGCUACCCAGCCAAAGGACUGCUAUGCUUGGCACAAAUGGGAAGAUGCUGACCAACCAUACCCUCAUUUACUGUGAGGUUUGCUUCGAAUGGUACAAACAUUUCUUCAGAUUUAGAAGCUGGUUGCUCAGUUGGUGAACAGGUAGGGAUAGACCCACCCACACACACAAACCCCAUCACCACCCUAUAUACAGUAUCUCUUGCAGCUACAACUUUGGACCCAAUAAAAGGCUUCUCUCUAGUGGCCUUUUCUUGCCCACUUCUAGAAGCAGAUACAGUGCUGUAGCAGCAAUGAUAAAAGCAGCCAAGUGGCAACAGACACAACAGCCGAGCAUCCUGAACAUCAAGCCAUAGAAGUGACUGCACGAGCUGAGAGAACCCAUCCUUGGUUCUACCUUGGUAUCAAAUCCCUGGCUCUUCUUACAUUCUCGCACAUGCUAUGGGUCAUGUAUACCAAGAAACACAAAACACUGGAAACAGGAGAACUACCAACAAACAGAAUGGAGAGCUCUGGUCGCUUCUCAAGCACAGAGACUGCUCAGAUACAGAGCAAGGGGAAGAAGUGCUGAUAUCAUCAAAGGACUGACACAGAAGUAAUCCUGUAUUGGUGGCCAGGACCUGGCCCCCCAGUUCCAGCAGACUCCAGCAGCUCAGGUGCAGGUCACAGCAGUCAGAAGAACAGAGACCCUCCUGCUGCAUCAGAGGCCAAGCAAGCAGCCAGAAGGCAAGAUUCCAGUGUGGUCAGAGGUCAAACAGGCUUCUAGAAAUCCAGGGAACAAAGGUGAGAAAACCAAAGACGAAACAGAGAUGUAGGGAAACAACACCCAUCCAACAAAGGCAACUCAAUAGUCAGCACCUAGACCUACAAUCAUCCUAAAUCCGGAUACCUAAACUCCAGUGUAAGGACAACAGGUCAACAACAGCCAGGGCAACAUGGCACCACCAGAACUAGGUCAGCAAGACCUGAAUAUUCCAAUGCAGCUGGAACACAAAAAAAGACCUUAAAACCAACUUUACGAUGAUGAUAAAGUUCCUCAAACAGGAAAUGCAAAAAAAUCCCUCAAAGAAAUUAAUGAAAAAAAUUGUAGGAAAUCAAUUCAUCCUUCAAAGAAUGCCAAGCCUCCCCGUUCCAAAUUAAACAAGCAGGCAAAGGAAACUGUUCAAGACCAGAAAAUGGAGAUAGAAGCAAUAAAGAAAACACAAACUGAUGAAAUUUUGAAAAUGGGAAAUCGAGGUAAGAUAACAGGAAUUACUCAUUAACAGAGUACAAGAAUUGGAAGGGAGAAUCUCAGGAGUUGAGUUGAAGAUAUGAUAGAAGAAAUAGAUUCAUCAGUCAAAGAAAAUGUUAAAUCUAAAAAACACCUAACACAAAACAUCCAGGAACUCCGUGAUACUAUGAAAAGACCAAACGUCAGAAUAAUAGGAAUGGAAGAAGGAUUCCAGCUCAGGAACCCAAAAAAAUAUUUAAACAAAUUCGUAGAAGAAAACUGUCCUCACCUAAAGAAGGUGUCUUAGUUAGGGUCUUAUUGCUGUGAACAGACCAAUGUAAAUUUUAUAAAGGACAUUUAAUUGGGGCU
rnacentral:sRNA from 1 species